CAGCAGUAUGUGAAUACCUGUCAAUCACCCUUGAGGGAACACAAGGGCUGGAAUUUACACGUCAGUGCUGUGGUUGCUGCUGUCACAUUUCCCCUUGGAAACCUCCGCCGAGGACUUUCCCCUCAGCGAGUACAUAUACACCAGCAUCACAGCAUGUCCAGCAUCACCUAUCAGCCUUCCCAUCUUGAAGAACACUUACGCAUCAGGAUCUGAGGACUCCAUCUGCAGCCUGAAGACAUGGCAAAGAUUACAGUCUCUCUCUGCGCACUGCUGGGGCUUCUGCUGGUCUUAGCUUCCGAGGGGGAAACCAGUAAGUAGGACAAGUGCUUUCACAUCAGCACGCAGUGUGUGUGACUUCAUGUCAGCUAAACCUGAAGAGUUCUCGGCCUCACCCUCUUAGUCUUGAUCUCUUUACAGCUCAGUAGAUAAAAAGUGCAACGGCAAACAAGUGCUGGUGUUUAAUGUGUCGGUCGGUUUGUCUGUUACAGGAGUAGGUACACCAAGCAGGGGAUGCUGCACACGAUUCAUCAAGGAUCUGCCUUUGAACAGAAUCCGUGGUUUCAUCGAGGAACGCCAAGGGAUAUGUCGUCUCAAAGCAGUCAAGUUCAUCACCGUAAAGGGUAAGGUUGUAUGUGCCAAUCCAAAUGACCAGUGGGUUAAGGAUGCCAAGGAGUUCAUCAGGUAAAGAGACUUUCUUCUCAUUGUGUUCCAUGUCCUUGGAUGAGGACAUUUUCCAUAACCAUUUCCAAAUUGCCAGUUAAUAGGCCUACAAAAAAGCAAUAUUGCCAAGACAAGUGACUUAUUUGUGUCCUUUCCACAGGACCCCAACUGUGGCACCCUAACCUGAGGACACCUGUGGUGUUAAUCGGAAACUAUCUUUCUGCAUCCAAGGGAUGCUUUUGAUAACUCAAAAGAGCUUUGCUCUAUUUGUGUCCCUUGAUGGGCUUUGUAAGGGAU
rnacentral:lncRNA from 1 species